UACGACUACAUAUCAGGCAUAUCAAUAAGCGGAGGAAAAGAAACUAACAAGGAUUCCCUUAGUAACGGCGAGUGAAGCGGGAAGAGCUCAAAUUUGAAAUCUUCAAGGUUUUACCUUGACGAAUUGUAGUUUAAAGAAGUGUUUUCUGUUGAAGUUUCGGUAAAAGUUCUUUGGAAUAGGACAUCAUAGAGGGUGAGAAUCCCGUAUUUGACCGUUAUUUUCAGCUGUGUGAUACACUUUCAAAGAGUCGGAUUGUUUGGGAAUGCAGUCCAAAAUGGGUGGUAAAUCUCAUCUAAAGCUAAAUAUUGGCGAGAGACCGAUAGCGAACAAGUACCGUGAGGGAAAGAUGAAAAGAACUUUGAAAAGAGAGUUAAACAGUACGUGAAAUUGUCAAAAGGGAAGCGUUUGACACCAGUGUUGUUUUCUCGAAAAUCAAUUAAAAAUGGCUUGAUUUUGUGUUGUAUUGACCUUAAAAGCUUUCUUCACUUUUUUCAUGUCUUUUUUAAUGCACUUUUCGUUUAACAAGUCAACAUCAGUUUCUUUUGUUGUAAAAAGGUCAUUGGAAGGUGGCUUUCUUUUCGGAGAAAGUGUUUAUAGCCUUUGACUCCUGCAAUCGGAGAGACUGAGGUCUGCAGCGUAGAUCCUUCUUGGAUUAGAUUCAUUUGUGCUAAGUUAUAGCUUUUCAUAGACAAUUUGUUAACUAUGUUUAGUCUUGUAGCUUACUCGCUUAUGUAAUUUACCUACGCUUAGGAUGUUGAACGCGCACAGAGUCUC
rnacentral:rRNA from 1 species